rnacentral:sRNA from 1 species
AGGUUUAUCGUCUUCUUCAAUA